rnacentral:rRNA from 1 species
UAGGGAAUCUUCCACAAUGGGCGGAAAGCCGUGAUGGAGCAACGCCGCGUGUGUGAUGGAAGGGUUUCGGCUCGUAGAACACUGUUGUAAGAGAAGAAUGACAUUGAGAGUAACUGUUCAAUGUGUGACGGUAUCUUACCAGAAAGGAACGGCUAAAUACGUGUCAG